AAGAAUUUAGUUUAAGUUAAAAUGUUAGAUUGUAAAUCUAAAGUUAUUAGUUCUUG
rnacentral:tRNA from 1 species